CUGCACCUGGCCGAGUUUGUUUUUUUUUUUUGUUUUGGCUUUUUUUUGAGGUGGAGUCUCACUUUGUCACCCAGGCUGGAGUGCAGUAGUGCAAUCUCGGCUCACUGCAACCUCCACCUCCCACGUUCAAGUGAUUCUCCUGCCUCAGCCUCCUGAGUAGCUGGGAUUAUAGGUGUGCACCACCAUGUCCGGCUGAUUUUUGUGUUUUUAGGAGAGAUGGGGUUUCACCACGUUGGCCAGGCUAGUCUCAAACUCCUGACCUCUGGUGAUCCUCCCACCUUGGCCUCCCAAAGUGCUGGGAUUACAAGCGUGAGCCACCACACCCAGCCUUGAGUUUGUUUUUUGCUUUGCUAUAGAUCUUAGAGAAACUGGUGCUUGUCUAGAGGGGGAGGCUGCAGAUUUGAAGAGAGAGAUGUAAAUGAUGAGGCAAAGUCCCAGAGGACAUGUAAGGGAAGAGAUUUGGCUUUAAACAGAAGGAAGGACCUUUGUUGCAGUCCGGAAGGAUAAAAGCAGAUGAAGAUAACUUUUUAAGUGGAGGACAGGAAACUGACAUAAUCAUAUCUGAUGAAUUUAAUAUUCUCAAUAAAACAGGAGACAAGACCUUCUGCUUAAAUGAGGGGAUGGGAUUGGAUAGCAAACUUAAAGAGAAGAGUAAAGUCUUAGAACAGCUUAAAGGGAGUGAGAUGGAAAGGUAAAUAAGAGGACUGUUGAACAACCUUGAAAGCACACCUGCAGUUGAAGACUGUACAUCUGUUACAUUUUUCUGGAAAACCCCACACAUGUCUAUUUCAACUUUCCUUUAAUUCCAACUUUUCACGAAGAAUUGAGAAAGGUGUAGUGGUUAUUACUGUGUAGUUUCACUAUUUUCUACAUCUCCCAAAUACCCACUUAUAGAAGUAGAGAAAAGGAAUUGUAUAACAAGGGACUGGGACAUUAUAGCAGCGGGAAGUGGGCAAGGGGCUUUGGGGUGUUGGUAAGAGGUAACCAACCACACACUUGGGCCAGGGAGGGAAGCCCAGUCAGGAGGGUCUUGACUGCCCAGGAGAAAUGAGUGGCUUGCCGGAAGGGAGGCUGCCAUGAGCUCAAGGAGGAGACAUGGUGGAAUAUAGUGGGAGAGAGGCCGUCAGAGAGCUGGAAGGUUAGCAGAGUCAGGAUGAAUGAGGACAAGGGGCUCAAGGGCCUUAAAAGUUCAGAUAUGGUACAGUUCAUGACAAUGACGAUGUCUAGGCUCUAGACUCCAGAGCAUGGGUGUGAAUAUGGGUGGCUGACAGAGUGGAGAAGGCUCCCUGAGUAGAGGUCAAGAAACCCUGAAGGUUGGUGUUGUGGCUCAUGCCUGCAAUCCCAACACUUUGGGAGGCCGAGGUGGGAGGAUCUCUUGAGCCCAGGAGUUCAAGAUCAGCCUGGACAACAUAGCAAGACCUUGCUCCUGCAGAAAAUAAAUAAAAUUAACUGGGCAUGGUGACAGAGUAGCUGUGGUCCCAGCUACUCUGGAGACUGAAGUGGGAGGACUGCUUGAGCCUGGUAGCUUGAGGUUCAAUGGGCUGUUAUUGUGCCACUGCAUUCCAGCCUGGGCAAGAGAGCGAGGCAAGAAAAGAAAGAAAGAGGGAGGGAGGGAGGGAGGGAGAAAGGCACAAGAAACCCUGCAGCCACCCUCAACCCUGGGUGUUAGGAGAGAAAAGUCGCCAAAGAUGAUGUGACAGGAAACCAGACAGAAAAAGAUCAUGGGACGGCAGUCAGUAUCUUCAAGGAAUUACUUUGUGAAUUGUUCUACCACCACCUUGGAUGUCAAAAUUACCACAGUCCUUCAGCCCAGUGGACUUCAGCUUGUUACAACUAGAAGGUUUAAGACAGUCAUCCAAGAUACCUCCACCAGGACACACAUUUCUGUCAAAAUAAAUCAGGAUGCUCUCAGUCAAGCUGCAAUCUCACUACCUGUAGUAUAUUGCAAAGAGCACUGGAUUUGCAAUGGAAAUACCUGAAUUUUAAUUCCAGUUUUGCCAACUAGUGGUCCUGCACAAGCCACUCACCACAGCCUUGGUUUGCUUAUUUUUAAAAUGUAGAAAGUAUCAUCCUCAUGGAGUCUGUGUAAGGAUUAGAAGAGAUUAUACAUAAAAGGGCCUACUGGGAUAUACCCAUAAUUCCCCUCUGCCCAGGAUUUUCCUCUUGCAGUAACAGGGACUGGGAUAGGUGGCAUACCUUGCCAGAAGACCCUCCGAUUUAAUAAACCCCCACGGCCCGGCGUGGUGGCUCAUGCCUGUAAUCGAGCACUUUGGGAGGCCGAGGUGGAUGGAUCACGAGGUCGGGAGUUCAAGACCAGCCUGGCCAACACAGUGAAA
rnacentral:lncRNA from 1 species